rnacentral:rRNA from 1 species
AGGCCUCAAAUCAGGUAGGACUACCCGCUGAACUUAAGCAUAUCAAUAAGCGGAGGAAAAGAAACUAACAAGGAUUCCCCUAGUAACGGCGAGUGAAGCGGGAAGAGCUCAAAUUUGAAAUCUGGUGGACUUUGUUCAUCCGAGUUGUAAUCUAGAGAAGUGUUUUCCGUGCCGGCCAAUGUACAAGUCCCUUGGAACAGGGCGUCAUAGAGGGUGAGAAUCCCGUACUUGACAUUGAUCACCGGCGCUCUGUGAUACAUUUUCAAAGAGUCGAGUUGUUUGGGAAUGCAGCUCAAAAUGGGUGGUAAAUUCCAUCUAAAGCUAAA